GUAUCCUGUCUGAAUAUGGGGGGACCAUCCUCCAAGGCUAAAUACUCCUGACUGACCGAUAGUGAACCAGUACCGUGAGGGAAAGGCGAAAAGAACCCCGGCGAGGGGAGUGAAAAAGAACCUGAAACCGUGUACGUACAAGCAGUGGGAGCACAGAGCAAUCUGUGUGACUGCGUACCUUUUGUAUAAUGGGUCAGCGACUUAUAUUCUGUAGCAAGGUUAACCGAAUAGGGGAGCCGAAGGGAAACCGAGUCUUAACUGGGCGUUAAGUUGCAGGGUAUAGACCCGAAACCCGGUGAUCUAGCCAUGGGCAGGUUGAAGGUUGGGUAACACUAACUGGAGGACCGAACCGACUAAUGUUGAAAAAUUAGCGGAUGACUUGUGGCUGGGGGUGAAAGGCCAAUCAAACCGGGAGAUAGCUGGUUCUCCCCGAAAGCUAUUUAGGUAGCGCCUCGUGAAUUCAUCUCCGGGGGUAGAGCACUGUUUCGGCAAGGGGGUCAUCCCGACUUACCAACCCGAUGCAAACUGCGAAUACCGGAGAAUGUUAUCACGGGAGACACACGGCGGGUGCUAACGUCCGUCGUGAAGAGGGAAACAACCCAGACCGCCAGCUAAGGUCCCAAAGUCAUGGUUAAGUGGGAAACGAUGUGGGAAGGCCCAGACAGCCAGGAUGUUGGCUUAGAAGCAGCCAUCAUUUAAAGAAAGCGUAAUAGCUCACUGGUCGAGUCGGCCUGCGCGGAAGAUGUAACGGGGCUAAACCAUGCACCGAAGCUGCGGCAGCGACGCUUAUGCGUUGUUGGGUA
rnacentral:rRNA from 1 species